GAUGCUCUUAAUGGUCUACUUU
rnacentral:siRNA from 1 species